AGCGAUUGGCUGGUGAUGAAACCUUUGGGUUUGAAGCUGAGCAGUUGCUUUGCGCCCCGCAGUGCGGACCCCUCAGGGCUGACUGAGGGGUUCCAAGCUCGUGUUAUCCAGGCCGAGGUUUAUUGGUACAGUGCCUUGGAGAUAAGGGCUUCGCCUCUGGAAAAAGCUCGAGAUUCGGUGCUGAUAUUUGUGUUCUUAAAAAAAAAAAAAAAGAAAUGACUGACAGGAUGACGAGCAAACAAGAUGCAAGUUCAUAGUCCUUGGGUUACAUCGCACACAGGGUUGAAGCUCAAUUAAGUCCCAAAAUGUUAUCUUCAAGCAGUUAACUGAACUUCCUCCAUGUACCAGACACCAUCCUUCUUUCUGAAGCUGAAAAAGGUGAUGGCUGAACUGACACAUCAAGAACCAGUCAAACCUAACAGCGGCUGACGGCUAGCUACAUCCCCCACCCCCUUGUCCUCACCCACCCCACCCUUUGCUAUUAGAACUGCACAACAUGCCUGAGGCUCAGAAGAAGCCAUCGGUCACCUACGUGGGAUAGGAGUGCGGACAGAUUCUGUGGUUGAGAAAUUCAGACAGGACACAGCUGUGACAUUGUCUCUGCUCCAUGAUGUCUGGGCUUCAGCUGAGAAGACUAAAAGCUGGGCUGACCUGACUGCAGGGGCUGGAAUCAUCUGGAAGUAUUUCACUCACAUGUCUGGGGGGUGAUUCUAGACGAUGACCGGGAACUCUCCAGCAGUGGCUGCUCCAUGUGGUCUCUCCGUAGAGACUAGCUGGGGAUUCUCACAGCAUGGCAACUGGAUUCCAGAAGGAUUCAGUGGCUUCCAGCAUGGGAGGUAGUAGAGUCACAAUACGGAAGGAGCCUGGGUCCCUGAAUGACUGCUGACGUGAGUCAUUCCUCUUGUGCCCUCUGCACCAAGGACAUCGAGGAGAGCCACUGAGCAGCUGUCAGGCAACUUCAAGUCAACUCCUGGGCUUCAAAUUUAUUGGGCCUGUGUGGAGGAUUAAAUGAGAUCUGUAUAUAAAGUACCUGACACUGCGUGAACACCCAAUAAACACUAGCUGUUACGAAAGCCGGUCUCCUGGGAAACACAUGGAGUUACACAUUUUAAUGAGGCCAGCUGCCAUUUGGAAGAACCCACAUGAUAAGGAACUGAGUCUGUGGUCAACAGCCAUCGGAGAACUGCGGCUCGCAGUCCAAGAGCCCAUGAGGAGCUGAAUCUGGCCAACAACCACUGAUUGCGCUUACGAGCAGGUUCUUCCCCACUCCAGCCUUCAGCAAGUCCAGGAGUGAGGUGUUUAAGGUCAAAGUGUCCUUGUCACGUGUGUUUACCUGUUUACCCACCAUUGGAGAGUUUCCUGCCAGGACCCCUUCUCUGGGGGAAGGGUGGGACCAGAGGCCCUCAGCGUACAUAAGUCCUGGUGCUUCAGGAAAGUCCUCUGUAUCCUCCCUCCAGUCCUACCUUUGGGCCUCACAGAAUCUCCAUAGUGGUCUUUCUUCACUUAAGCAUCGUUUUAGCUUGCGAAGCAGAGGCAGCAAGCCAGUUACUCCCUGGGGUCUGAAACGUCAGCCUGGGAAGGAGACUCUGAAUCCCCGCACUCCUGUCCAGACACAGGAAAGUUAUGAAUGCGGAAACACACGUCUGGACCCAGUUCAUCAGCUGAGGUGCAAAAAUGUCUGAAUAGUUGAAGCCAUGAGAUCAACUCUUUUUGAAAGAGGGAACUUGAGAUACAUAUAUGCAGUGCAUAGGGCACCAAGCAACCCACUUCACUCCAGUCUUCAGUUUCUCCAUCUGAUGUGGGGGUUUACCUCCAGGUCUCAGAGUCUUGGAUUCUCAGUUUGGCACAAUCUGGUUACUGAGAGCUGGCUUUCUGGGUCCUAAAUCAACUGCUAAACGAGAAUAACAGAAAUACCUGGCCCCUAAGAGGUUCGUGGGAUUAAAUUAAAUAAAUAUGAACUCUGGGCACAGAGCGCGCACAAAGAGUGAAUCUGAUCAUUAUCACUUCUUCAAGGGGUUCCUGGUACUCUGGGGAAUUGGGGCUCGUGAAGAGCGGACCGCAGCCCGCACCGGCCCGGUGGCCUGCCCCGCCCACCUGGGGCCGCAGCCCGUCGAAUGACUCCGUGCAACGUGUUGG